GGAGCUGGAACUAGAACCCAUGAACUUCCAAAUCCCAGGCCCAUGCUGCGACUCAAAUCUGGAGAUGUGCACCAUCGCCUAGAAUUGGAAUGUGGACUUUUGAAUGCUUCCUUGAAGAAGACACCUGAAUGGCUAGAAUACAACCACCUGAGUGUCCGUAAAAAUGGCCAAGAAAGCACACCGAGCAGCAGAAGGAACCAGGAUUAGAAGGGUGCUUCAGAUGACCUCCCUGGGAAAAGAUAAAGCAUCACAAAACGCUGAUAAAAACAUGUCUUUGAUUUUUAGCUUUGCCAUCGCUGCCUGAGAAAAACACAUCAAAGACACUUAGCAUUUGCUUCUGUGACAACACUAUCACUGAAUCGGGGAGGGCAGAGAGGAGAAUCUUUUCGGAAAAUGUUUUGAGGUUCCACCCCCGUCUCAUUCCAGAUCAGAAAAAUACAUGCAAAUCAAUGUGGCUACUUAAUUUUACCUCAAGAUA